AUUGAACGCUGGCGGCAUGCCUUACACAUGCAAGUCGAACGGUAACAGGUCUUCGGAUGCUGACGAGUGGCGAACGGGUGAGUAAUACAUCGGAACGUGCCUAGUAGUGGGGGAUAACUACUCGAAAGAGUAGCUAAUACCGCAUGAGAUCUACGGAUGAAAGCAGGGGAUCGCAAGACCUUGUGCUACUAGAGCGGCCGGUGGCAGAUUAGGUAGUUGGUGGGAUAAAAGCUUACCAAGCCGACGAUCUGUAGCGGGUGUGAGAGGACGAUCAGCCACACUGGGACUGAGAAACGGCCCAGACUCCUACGGGAGGCAGCAGUGGGGAAUUUUGGACAAUGGGCGCAAGCCUGAUCCAGCAAUGCCGCGUGCAGGAUGAAGGCCUUCGGGUUGUAAACUGCUUUUGUACGGAACGAAAAGCCCCGGGUUAAUACCCUGGGGUCAUGACGGUACCGUAAGAAUAAGCACCGGCUAACUACGUGCCAGCCGCCGCCGUAA
rnacentral:rRNA from 1 species